rnacentral:SRP_RNA from 1 species
GCCUGGUGUGGUGGCGUGAACCUGUAGUCCCAGUUACUUGGGAGGCUGAGGCAGAAGAAUCGCUUGAGCCCAGGAGGUGGAGGUUGCAGUGGGCCAAGAUCGUGCCACUGCACUCCAGCCUGGGCAACAGAGCGAGACUCUGUCUCAA